AUUGAACGCUGGCGGCAUGCCUUACACAUGCAAGUCGAACGGUAACGCGGGGCAACCUGGCGACGAGUGGCGAACGGGUGAGUAAUGUAUCGGAACGUGCCCAGUUGUGGGGGAUAACUGCUCGAAAGAGCAGCUAAUACCGCAUACGACCUGAGGGUGAAAGCGGGGGAUCGCAAGACCUCGCGCAGUUGGAGCGGCCGAUAUCAGAUUAGGUAGUUGGUGGGGUAAAGGCUCACCAAGCCAACGAUCUGUAGCUGGUCAGAGAGGACGACCUGCCACACUUGGACUGAGACACGGCUCAGACUCCUACCGGAGGCAGCAGUGGGGAAUUUUGGACAAUGCGAGCAACCCUGAUCCAGCCAUGCCGCGUACGGAAAGAAGGCCUUCGGGUUGUAAACCGCUUUUGUCAGUGAAGAAAAGACUCCUGUUAAUACCGGGGGUUCAUGACGGUACCUGAAGAAUAAGCACCGGCUAACUACGUGCCAGCAGCCGCCGCCGUAA
rnacentral:rRNA from 1 species